rnacentral:rRNA from 1 species
CCAAGGUUUCCUGUCCCAUGUUAAUCAGGGCAGGGUAAGUCGGCCCCUAAGGCGAGGCGGAAACGCGUAGUCGAUGGAAAACAGAUUAAUAUUUCUGUACUUCUAUAUAUUGCGAAGGAGGGACGGAGUAGGCUAGAUGAGCACGGCGUUGGUAGUCCGUGUGAAAGAAUGUAGGUGGGUGACUUAGGUAAAUCCGGGUUGCUGUUAACACUGAGACUCGAGACGAGUGUCUACGGACAUGAAGUCAUUGAUGCCAUGCUUCCAGGAAAAGCUUCUAAGCUUCAGAUAUAUAGGAACCGUACCCCAAACCGACACAGGUGGUUAGGUAGAGAAUACUAAGGCGCUUGAGAGAACUCGGGUGAAGGAACUAGGCAAAAUAGUACCGUAACUUCGGGAGAAGGUACGCUCUCUAGUGUGAAGGACUUGCUCCGUAAGCACAUGAGAGUCGAAGUAACCAGGUGGCUGGAACUGUUUAUUAAAAACACAGCACUGUGCAAAAUCGAAAGAUGACGUAUACGGU